ACCAUCCCCCCCCCCCGGUCCGUGGAAAAAUUGUCUUCCACGAAACCAGUCCUUGGUGCCAGAAAGGUUUGGGGACCACUGCCAGAUAAGCAGCAA